UACGGAAGGCAGCAGUGGGGAAUAUUGCACAAUGGGCGCAAGCCUGAUGCAGCCAUGCCGCGUGUAUGAAGAAGGCCUUCGGGUUGUAAAGUACUUUCAGUCGUGAGGAAGGUGUUAAGGUUAAUAACCUUAGCAAUUGACGUUAGCGACAGAAGAAGCACCGGCUAACUCCGUGCCAGCAGCCGCGGUAAUACGGAGGGUGCGAGCGUUAAUCGGAAUUACUGGGCGUAAAGGGCACGCAGGCGGUUAAUUAAGUUGGAUGUGAAAUCCCCCGGGCUUAACCUGGGAAUGGCAUUCAAGACUGGUUAGCUAGAGUCUUGUAGAGGGGGUAGAAUUCCAUGUGUAGCGGUGAAAUGCGUAGAGAUGUGGAGGAAUACCGGUGGCGAAGGCGGCCCCUGGACAAAGACUGACGCUCAUGUGCGAAAGCGUGGGGAGCAAACAGGGAUUAGAUACC
rnacentral:rRNA from 1 species